rnacentral:rRNA from 1 species
UACGAGGGGGGCGAGCGUUGUUCGGAAUUAUUGGGCGUAAAGGGUGCGUAGGCGGCCUGACAAGUCUGAUGUGAAAUCCCUGGGCUCAACCCAGGGCCUGCAUCGGAAACUGUCGGGCUUGAGUAUGGGAGAGGUGAGUGGAAUUUCCGGUGUAGCGGUGAAAUGCGUAGAUAUCGGAAGGAACACCUGUGGCGAAAGCGGCUCACUGGACCAUUACUGACGCUGAGGCACGAAAGCGUGGGUAGCAAACAGG